rnacentral:rRNA from 1 species
GUGGGGAAUAUUGGACAAUGGGCGAAAGCCUGAUCCAGCCAUGCCGCGUGUGUGAAGAAGGUCUUCGGAUUGUAAAGCACUUUAAGUUGGGAGGAAGGGCAGUAAGCUAAUACCUUGCUGUUUUGACGUUACCGACAGAAUAAGCACCGGCUAACUUCGUGCCAGCAGCCGCGGUAAUACGAAGGGUGCAAGCGUUAAUCGGAAUUACUGGGCGUAAAGCGCGCGUAGGUGGUUUUGUAAGUUGGAGGUGAAAUCCCCGGGCUCAACCUGGGAACUGCCUCCAAAACUGCAUGACUAGAGUACGGUAGAGGGUAGUGGAAGUUCCUGUGUAGCGGUGAAAUGCGUAGAUAUAGGAAGGAACACCAGUGGCGAAGGCGACUACCUGGACUGAUACUGACACUGAGGUGCGAAAGCGUGGGGAGCAAACAGGAUUAGAAACCCCGGUAGUCC